rnacentral:misc_RNA from 1 species
GAUGAAGAACGCAGCGAAAUGCGAUAAGUAAUGUGAAUUGCAGAAUUCAGUGAAUCAUCGAAUCUUUGAACGCACAUUGCGCCCGCUAGUAUUCUGGCGGGCAUGCCUGUCCGAGCGUCAUUUCAACCCUCAAGCCCCCGGGCUUGGUGUUGGGGAUCGGCGAGCCUCCGCGCCCGCCGUCCCCUAAAUCUAGUGCGGUCUCGCUGUAGCUUCCUCUGCGUAGUAGCACACCUCGCACUGGGAAACAGCGCGGCCACGCCGUUAAACCCCCAACUUCUGAACGUUUGACCUCGGAUCAGGUAGGAAUACCCGCUGAACUUAAGCAUAUCAAUAAGCGGAGGA